AUUGAACGCUGGCGGCAGGCCUAACACAUGCAAGUCGAACGGUAACAGGAAGAAGCUUGCUUCUUUGCUGACGAGUGGCGGACGGGUGAGUAAUGUCUGGGAAACUGCCUGAUGGAGGGGGAUAACUACUGGAAACGGUAGCUAAUACCGCAUAACGUCGCAAGCCCAAAGAGGGGGACCUUCGGGCCGCUUGCCAUCGGAUGUGCCCAGAUGGGAUUAGCUAGUAGGUGGGGUAACGGCUCACCUAGGCAACGAUCCCUAGCUGGUCUGAGAGGAUGACCAGCCACACUGGAACUGAGACACGGUCCAGACUCCUACGGGCGGCAGCAGUGGGGAAUAUUGCACAAUGGGCGCAAGCCUGAUGCAGCCAUGCCGCGUGUAUGAAGAAGGCCUUCGGGUUGUAAAGUACUUUCAGCGGGGAGGAAGGGAGUAAAGUUAAUACCUUUGCUCAUUGACGUUACCCGCAGAAGAAGCACCGGCUACCUCCGU
rnacentral:rRNA from 1 species